rnacentral:tRNA from 1 species
GUCCCCAUCGUCCAGAGGCCUAGGACUCAGCCCUUUCAAGGCUGCAACGGCGGUUCGAAUCCGCUUGGGGAUG